AUUGAACGCUGGCGGCAGGCCUAACACAUGCAAGUCGAGCGAGCGUCGCACGGGUGUGUAUUGUAUGGGGACUGCCCGCUAGAGGGGUAUAACUCCUGGAAACGGUAGCUAAUACCCCAUACUAUCGUAUAACCCACAUUGGAUUAGCUAGUAGGUGGGGUAAUGGCUCACCUAGUCGACGAUCCCUAGCUGGUUUGAGAGGAUGAUCAGCCACACUGGGACUGAGACACGGCCCAGACUCCUACGGAGGCAGCAGGGGGGAAUAUUGCACAAUGGGCGCAAGCCUGAUGCAGCCAUGCCGCGUGUAUGAAGAAGGCCCUAGGGUUGUAAAGUACUUUCAGUAGGGAGGCGUUACCGGCAGAAGAAGCACCGGCUAACUCCGUGCCAGCCGCCGCGGUAAUAC
rnacentral:rRNA from 1 species